UGACAUUUUCCAUUUUAAUGCCUACUUAGGGCAGGUUCAGGCUGCACAAGGAAGAGGCCAGAAUCAAGGUAUUCAACGCCAACAGCCUGUCGCAGCCUUCCGGAAACCUGCCGGGUCUCCAGUCCAUCUCGCUCAUCUUGCCUGGUCAUAGUGAGUGUGGAAGGGCAGGUUAGUUCCAUGUGGGAUGCAGCUCCAAUAUGUUUUAAAUUUUAAAACCUCUUUUUUUCCCCUGGCCGCGCACAGCUGAUGUGUUUGUAGAACAGAUUACAUAGGAA
rnacentral:lncRNA from 1 species